CUUUUAUCAAGAAGGGAGUUUAGGCACUGAGAACGAAUCAAACAGGAUCUAUAAAGGCGUAGUUGAAAACACCUUUCAUUAUUUCGAGUUCGAGACUUGAGGAAAGCAUCUCAUCUGAAAGUCACAAGUUUCGGGAAAAAGAAACAGAGCAGAAAUGAAUUCCCUUUGGAUAACUACUUGGCUGCUCGCGGGUGUAUUUGUUUCAGCGCUGGCCACGGAGGACAGAAAGCUGGAGAAGAGGCAAGCCGAAUGUGACCCUUCGAAGAAAGACAAAGUCAUGGUGUUACCAGGUCCCAUCACGGAUUAUGCAAUGAUAGAAAACGCUUUCGUAUACGAUCUGCAUGCUGUUUCAAUCUGCAUGAUUGCACAGUGGAAUCCUAACCAUGUCGAGCCCAGUGAUAAUCAAUGUGUGUUCAGCUACGCUGUCCCAGGAUCAGACAAUGAAUUGACUCUUUGCUCAUAUCCUACUUUCCGAGUGCUUAUCC